UUGACUUAGCGGCGGACGGGUGAGUAACGCGUGGGUAACCUGCCUUACACUGGGGGAUAACAGUUAGAAAUGACUGCUAAUACCGCAUAAGCGCACAGGGCCGCAUGGUCUGGUGUGAAAAACUCCGGUGGUGUAAGAUGGACCCGCGUCUGAUUAGGUAGUUGGUGGGGUAACGGCCCACCAAGCCGACGAUCAGUAGCCGACCUGAGAGGGUGACCGGCCACAUUGGGACUGAGACACGGCCCAAACUCCUACGGGAGGCAGCAGUGGGGAAUAUUGGACAAUGGGCGAAAGCCUGAUCCAGCGACGCCGCGUGAGUGAAGAAGUAUUUCGGUAUGUAAAGCUCUAUCAGCAGGGAAGAAAAUGACGGUACCUGACUAAGAAGCCCCGGCUAACUACGUGCCAGCAGCCGCGGUAAUACGUAGGGGGCAAGCGUUAUCCGGAUUUACUGGGUGUAAAGGGAGCGUAGACGGUUUAGCAAGUCUGAAGUGAAAGCCCGGGGCUCAACCCCGGUACUGCUUUGGAAACUGUU
rnacentral:rRNA from 1 species